UGCCAGCCGCCGCGGUAAUACGAAGGGACCUAGCGUAGUUCGGAAUUACUGGGCGUAAAGGGUCCGUAGACUGUAUUGUAAGUUAUUUGUUAAAUCCUAAAGCCUAACUUUAGAAAAGCAUUUAAUACUACUAUACUUGAGUUUUGUUCGGAAGAGUAGAAUUCCACGUUUAGGGAUAAUCCCCGUAGAUAUGUGGAGGAACACCAUUAGCGAAGGCGACUCUUUGGUAAAAACUGACGUUGAGGGACGAAAGUGUAGGGAGCAAACAGGAUUAGAUA
rnacentral:rRNA from 1 species